rnacentral:rRNA from 1 species
AACGAACGCUGGCGGCAGGCCUAACACAUGCAAGUCGAACGCCCUAGCGAUAGGGAGUGGCGCACGGGUGCGUAGCGCGUGGGAAUAUGCCCUUGACUGCGGAACAACGUCGGGAAACUGACGCUAAUACCGCAUAAUGUCUUCGGACCAAAGAUUUAUCGGUCAAGGAUUAGCCCGCGUCUGAUUAGCUAGUUGGUGAGGUAACGGCUCACCAAGGCGACGAUCAGUAGGGGGUCUGAGAGGAUGAUCCCCCACACUGGGACUGAGACACGGCCCAGACUCCUACGGGAGGCAGCAGUGAGGAAUAUUGGACAAUGGGCGCAAGCCUGAUCCAGCCAUGCCGCGUGAGUGACGAAGGCCUUCGGGUUGUAAAGCUCUUUCAGAUGCGAAGAUAAUGACGGCAGCAUCAGAAGAAGCCCCGGCUAAAUUCGUGCCAGCCGCCGCGGUAA